rnacentral:rRNA from 1 species
UGAGGAAUAUUGGGCAAUGCCCGCGAGGGUGACCCAGCAACGCCGCGUGGAGGAUGAAUGUCGUAAGAUUGUAAACUCCUGUUAGAGGGGAAGAAUAGUACCGGUUGGACCGGUAUAUGACUGUACCCUCAGAGAAAGCCCCGGCUAACUACGUGCCAGCAGCCGCGGUAAUACGUAGGGGGCAAGCGUUGUCCGGAUUUACUGGGUGUAAAGGGCGCGCAGGCGGGAUAAAAAUCCAGUGGUGAAAUCCUACAGCUUAACUGUAGAACUGCCUUUGAUACUUUUAUUCUUGAGUUCGGGAGAGAGAGACGGAAUUCCAGGUGUAGUGGUGAAAUACGUAGAUAUCUGGAAGAACACCAGUUGCGAAGGCGGUCUCUUGGUCCGACACUGACGCUGAGGCGCGAAAGCGUGGGGAGCAAACA